rnacentral:misc_RNA from 1 species
CGAAAUGCGAUAAGUAAUGUGAAUUGCAGAAUUCAGUGAAUCAUCGAAUCUUUGAACGCACCUUGCGCUCCUUGGUAUUCCUUGGAGCAUGCCUGUUUGAGUAUCAUGAAAUCUUCAAAGUAAAUCUUUUGUUAACUCAAUUGGUUUCUACUUUGGUAUUGAGGUCUUUGCAGCUUCACACCUGCUCCUCUUUGUUCAUUAGCUGGAUCUCAGUGUUAUGCUUGGUUCCACUCGGCGUGAUAAGUUAUCUAUCGCUGAGGACACUGUAAAAGGUGGCCAAGGUAAAUGCAGAUGAACCGCUUCUAAUAGUCCAUUGACUUGGACAAUACUUUUAUGAUCUGAUCUCAAAUCAGGUAGGACUACCCGCUGAACUUAAGC